GCGUUCUGUUUCCGCUGCUGCUCUGUCACCGUCGCUGCUCUGUCACCGUCGCUGCUCUAUCGCGCUCUGUUGCAAGCGAAUCGAUGGAAUUCGACCCGAUCCCAAUCAGUUCCUGCUCCAAAGAGAACCAGAGCAUCUACCAGCAGUUGUUUAAAUUACGCCGAUUCAGGUAUGCAUUGUUUAAAUUACGCCGAUAAACCUUAGGGUUCAAUUUUUCUACGCCAGUUUUAGCUAGGUUUAUCAUACUUUGCUUUUGUGGCUCAAUUGUUUAAUGGUUCCAACUAUUAUAUAAAGCAAAACAAAAAGUAUACAAAAUUAAUGGAAGCAGAAAAGCUUGAUUGAAGACACUGUGAUAGUCAAGUUCAAAUAAAGAGAAUGUGACUAAUAAUGAAUAAAUUAAAGUUGCAUGAUAUUUCGUUAAAUGUUAAAACAUUUUUUAAAUAUAUAUAUAAGGCAAUUUUGAACUAUAUAGUUUGCACAUUUGUUUGAACUUCUGCAGCAAAGCAUUGUCGUAUGGAGUUACUCAUGCAGCAAAGGUUAGUGGCUUGCCCAUGGUUUAUUUAUCUGCAAUCAUCUUGUUUUCUUUUUUUUCCUGAUCUAUUUUUCUAUUUCAGGCUCUAAAACCUGCUACUCUUGUUCCUCUUCAGCUUUUAAAGUCAAGUGGAACCAAAUGCAUAAUGGUUGGUGACCCAAAGCAACUUCCUGCAACUGUCCUCUCAAAUAUUGCGAGUAAAUAUCUUUACGAGUGCAGCAUGUUUGAACGUUUACAAAGGGCAGGGCAUCCUGUUAUCAUGCUUACUGAGCAGUUGCAAAAGCUUUGAAGAAAGUAAAGGUUGUUUUUCU